rnacentral:lncRNA from 1 species
UUUUUUUUUUUUUGCUAGAGGGUUGGUUGUGGAGGCGAAAAUGGGAGAGGUGGAAGGUGGGGAAGAAUAAACAUGAGAGGUUCGCACAAGAUUUGGUCUAAGCGAUUGAUUCUGACGCUGAGUCAAAGCAGUGAAUUCCACCAGCACACCAAAAGUUUUACUGCAAACAUGGAUAGUGUUAGUUUGGGUGAAUAGUAUUUGACAUUAUUUACAUGUGAUUGUAUCUUUUUUGGUUCUUUCAUUGGAGUUUGAAUUAGGAGCAGAAACUUUUUGAGAUUGUACAUCAAACAUGGAUGCGUGUCUCCAAAUAUUUUCAGAAUUUUAAACAUGUUUUGUAUCUUAAAAAAACUUGAUCUCACUGAUCUCACCUAAGGGCGGAUCUUAUACUAGUCUCCGCCUCUAUACCCCUGGUCUUGUAGCUAACGUGGCAAAGUUGCGUGAGUCAUAGGUGAUUUGCUUGGCAACAAAAACAACGCUCCGGCGGGUCGGUUUCUUCACUUGCACAGCCUGUCGAUCCGUCUCGAUCAGUCGUGGUCAUCCAUCCACGAUGUACCUAGGCGUGCCGCGCUGCAUGCCAGCGACGGUUCUAGCCCACGCACGAGCUGCGUGAUAGAUGCGGCGUCGUCACUCUCAACUCAAUGCAUGCUACGUCCUCCUCGAUCGUCACCGUGCACCGACCCUCCUAUCCUACGGCGUCCGCCGAUUCUUCUAGCCUAGAAUCUAGGGUCUGACCAACGCAGCUCUCGGUGUCGACGGUGGACUUAGAUCAGCUGGGCCACGGCUGCGGAAGCACGGAGCCAGAGAGAGUCUUCAACUUGUGCCGUGUCGACGUGUCGUCAGUCGAUGGCGAGGACCAUGUAGCCCGUUGGCCGCGGCCCCCGGCACAUGAGCGUCGCCUCGUGCGGUGCACAGCUGCUCUUCCGUCCAAAUAUUUUUAAACUCGUAUGUUGUUUUCCUUGCUUCUUGCUGUAUUUUUUGUUUGCAGACCUUCCACGUCGCAAGCGAACGCAAGUCUUUCUGCUCAGCAGCAGUCGAAUCUGAACAUAGCGGUUAACUAGCAUAAAUUAUGAUCAUCUUUAUACCAGUAUUAAAACUAGCUAGUACCCAUUUCUGACUAAAAAGUAGGUCAAGAAGUUUGCACUUGUUCCAAACUAAAUGUCUUGGGGUUAUCACAACCAUUUCUUUAUAAUGAUAAACUAAGUGAGAAGAAGGCAAAGCAUAGUACUAGUAUUCACAAGGUUCAUACAUAGGCGGAACUCCGCUCCGCUUACAAUCUGAAAUCCAAAAGGUUUGAUUGAUUUCGGUAUCAACCAAGAGCAAGCACCACAUCACUUCACGCAGCCAGCACACGCGCUAAACCUGUCAAGCCCAUCAAAGAUCAUCAGAGCGUGAUGAUCGUUGCUCACAAAAACAGAGCAAACUAAGCAAUUGAGAGUUGCAAACUAACUCACAGCACACACAACACACGCAUAAUCAAACUAGACUAGAUAGCAUCUACGGUAACUUUAUAUUAGCGGUUCAUUGAGGUCGUCGUGGCUCCAUCUCCAGCAGCUACUGGGUCUGUAAAGAAUGCAAGGGUAAGUUAGCUCCACGUCACUUACUGUUGAAGCAAUAAUUACGUGGGUGAAACUGAAACAUAGACUGUCAUUAAUUAUUUGCCUGAACAGUACCAAGGUUCACGAUUGCAUAAGAGAACACGGUUAAACUAUUUUGGCUGAUUAUGAAUAAUAACAACAGUAAUUGUGACUGGGCCAUAAGAGCAGAAACUGUAAAUAUCUCCGUCCUUUGGAAGAACACUGUAAAAUCUUUUCCAAAGAUGCUAGAAACUAGUGGUAGACGAGUGGCAACAGAUGCAAUGCCUAUAUUGCUGUGAAAUCCGAAAGCUGAGCCGAUAAGUAGUGCGAGUCAGCACCUACUCACAUGUUGGACGAAUACAUGGAGUAUACUAGUGUGGAUAUAUGUUCUGCGAGUCUGCAACUACUGGUAUGCUCAACGAAUCAACGUAGUGCCUAGUGUAAAGAGGCAUGUGAUUUGUCGCACUAGAACAUUGUGACGGCAAGCUGGCAGCACUCAAGAGUCAAGAUAACACAUAAAUGUAAGGAGGGAGUACAAGAUUUUCUGUCGUACUAACUGACGUCUCCACACUUGCUGCUUGGAUGAGCACAUCAAAUGUAAGGACGAAGCUACUAUGUCAUUAGCUUUGAUACAACAGAAGAUAUAUUUGGAGCAGAAUUAUCAGUUCAUAAACGCACCUCAUCAGUGGCAGCAUCAUCAUACUCCCCAUGCUCUUUCAAUUUCAUCGGUUCAACUGCAUGGAGCUCUAGUCAGAACAUAACUAGUAUAAUCUUUUAAUGACCAAGUCAAAGGAAAAGCUCUGCACAUGUUAACAUACCUGUAGCAUGGCAACCAGCUUCCCCUUCCUGAAUCACUCUGCUAGAAUCACCAGCUCCAGCAGUAUCAAUAGGCUCCCCAUCAGAGCAGGCACCAGAUGACAUCCGCUUUGAGGACAGGCCGCCUUUAGCAGAGGACUUCUUAGAAGAAGGGCAACUGGAUGUGAGCCUCUGUAAUGAGCCCCUGCAGAAUGGAGAGUUGUUGAAAGGGCUACCAGAUGAUGAUAAGCGCUUUGCAGACAAGCUCCCUGCAGACGGAGACAAUUUAUCUAAAUGGCUCUCUGACGAGAGGCGUCUUUCAGAUGCUCCCCUUGCUAGAGGGGAUCCUCUCAAGCUCAGCCUGUCGAUGGAAGAGCGGCAUGCUGACUGGACUAUUUCACUGUCACAAGGACCUUUGACACCGAUAAUCUUUUCGAAUUCAGAAUGUUCUUCCGCUAGCCGGUCCACGAUGACAGCCUCACAAUCAUCAAAUGCAAAACUUUCAUCCAGUUUCUGCUCAAAGCUAGGUUGGUCCAUCUCUUCCUCUCCUUGUUUGAUAACACUGAC